rnacentral:rRNA from 1 species
CCUACGGGCGGCAGCAGUGGGGAAUAUUGGGCAAUGGGCGCAAGCCUGACCCAGCAACGCCGCGUGAAUGAAGAAGGCUUUCGGGUUGUAAACUUCUUUUAUCAGGGACGAAGCAAGUGACGGUACCUGAUGAAUAAGCCACUGCUAACUACGUGCCAGCCGCCGCGGUAAUACGUAGGGGGCAAGCGUUAGCCGGAUUUAUUGGGUUUAAAGGGUGCGUAGGCUGUGAGGUAAGUCAGCGGGGAAAUGCCCCCGCUCAACGGGGUGAAGUGCCAUUGAUACUGCCUUGCUGGAAUGCGGAUGCGGUGGGCGGAAUGUGUGGUGUAGCGGUGAAAUGCAUAGAUAUCAGAAAGAACACCGAUUGCGAAGGCAUCUCACGAAUCCGCGAUUGACGCUGAUGCACGAAGGCGUGGGUAUUAAACAGGAUUAGAUACCCCGGUAGUC